CGCUCUACAUUUGCAAUUUCACCAAUAGUUCUGUUUUGCAUUGAAAUCCUUUUAUGCCUACGCUAUCCUGUGCGUAUAUACGCACACAUAUAUAUAUAUAUAUAUAUCAAUGUGCGUGUUUGUGUGUGUCUGCACACGCGCGUGCCUGCUAUGUGUGGUAUGCGUUUGUGUGUAUACUUUGGUUGAAUAGAUGCUUUGAUUUUGACAAGCAGGUCAACAUUAGCUAAUGUCGUCAGCAUCAUCACGACAACUGCGACAGCGAGCCUGGAUGUGUAAGUUUUUCGGCUUUUUUUUUUUCGCAUAUGGUUGUCUGCUUGCUUCGGCUGAACUAAAACGGGGAAGCAGGGGGUAGCGACCAAAGCAGCCGCGAAAUUUAAACGUUGAGCGGGCGAAAGAAGGAGACGCCAAAUCUAAAAGAAGAGAACAAAAUGUCAGCGUCAUAAUUUCGCCCACUGUUUGGUAAAAACUUUCGUUACUGUUUUUCUUUUUCGCAACGCCAUUGUGAUCUUGGUCCAUUCGUUUUGGUGGACCCCAACGGCCGUGGGUACGGUCGCAGUCACGAAGAUCAAGUGAACGUGACGAGGCGUGCGAAUACAGCGUUUGAUUUUUUACAUUUGUUACUUCACUGAAUAUCGUGGUUCAUUGGAAGACACCGGCAACUGGUCACUUGAAAUGUAUUCCGAGUGAGAGAACAAGCUCACGUUUGGUAGUCCACCAGAAACGAGAUUUUCAUAUCGCAAGGUUCGCAUAUGAAUCAUCAGAUAGAUUUUAAAGAUUGUCUUCUGAUGGUCUUCUAAUCUUGUCAACAGUAUGCACUUUAUUUGGUCUGGAUAGUAAAAGGCUUACUCUCAAACAAUUGUCUGAGGUAAUAUUUUAAAAGUUGUUUCAUUGAAUAAUCGUCUGACGUUUAAAAAACACUACAUCCAGCUGAUCCUAGUGUGAACAGUCCACUUAAAAGAUAUAUAUUUUAACACUUCACAGGUACCUCUUAAUAGGUCGCCUUUAUUCCACUAUCGGUUGUUCGGCUAUUCUGUGUAUUGUAAUAUAUGGAGUGUUUUUCUAGUGGCUACUGGGCCAUGUACCCCCAGAACGAAAACUCAAUUACCUUUCAGAUUUUCUAACUUCUCUUUUUCAGCUACAGAAACCUGUCUUUAGUCUGUUAUACCGCUAAUGGGCAUUGUUUGUGAAAACCAGAUACAUUCGAGUCAUUCGUUUAGGUUAUGAACAGCUGAUGUUGGUUAGCUAUGGGAAAAAGGUUGGGCCGAAAUGCGCAGUCUAGCUUUUUAACAUGAUAACUUAGUUAAACACGACGGUAAAAAAAUUAUCGGAGAAGCGACAAAUGAGUGAUUAAUCUGGAUGCUUAUGCGUGUCGUAUCUCCCAGCUUAUUUCUCUUUGUAAUUAUGUACAUAAAUUUUGAGCUUCUGUGCUAUUAUCAACAAGUGGCUCAUGUUUGACGAACGUUCUUGUUUUUACUUGGCUUUGUAGUAGUUGUUGUUGCAGUGAUUGCCACUGACAAAGGCGACGAUGUAACUUUUCUUGCGGCAGCUAACGUUUUGGAAGCGCCAUCGUCCUCAUUGGGCUGUAGUCCCGACUAGCUCGUGCUUUCCAAAAGUCCAUUUACUCGAUCGCGACAAUCAAGGAGCAGCCGCCGCCUGCGCUCUUAGAUGCUUCCGUUGUUACUUCACAUUUUCCAGCUUAGAAAAACCGCAAGCGAUACCGGCGACAGUAAAUGCAGCGACAUCGUCAAACGGGCCUAUGCCAGACGAUAACGAAUGCCAACUCGACAACAGAGUUCAACCGAACUGAGUGAGACCGGCAAAUCAGAAUCAGCAGCUGCAGCAGUAGGAAGCCAAUGGCAGACUGGAACAGUGGAAGAUUCGUGAGCUAAAAAUGCCAACUUUUGUAAAUGACGAAUUGCAAAGACUGAGAGGAGAACCAUGGCAGCGCUGGCCAGCAGAAAGAGAGAGUUCAGGUCGGUGAACGACAGCCGUCGCCGCCGCUGCGACUGCCGCCGCUGUCGCCAUUUGAGAUGAAAACGAGCGCAAAUCGUCCUCACGCUAUGGUCUCUAGCAGGAGGGAGAGGCGUCGUUGUUCGAAAGGCAGGAGGGGAAGAAGACUGUAAUGCAUGAAAGGUUCAAGUAGUUCAAGGCAUUCAUGCUAAUGAUAAUCGCACACGGUGAGUCAAUAAUGCGGAAAAGAUGUUACGUGCAAAGAUAACUCGGAAAAGGCACGAGCAUGCAAGAUUCAAGCAAAAUCGAGUGUUCUUUUGGUUACCGAGAGCUCAUACUCGUUCCAGUUAAGCAGGGGGCAGUACAUGCGUAAAGAUACGCAAUCGUCUAUUCAUAGGUGAGUAUUAGAGCGACUGGCAAGAUAAAGAGGGCAAGUUGUUCGGUCUGUGAAAGAAAAAAAUGUUGUCUCUCGGACGGUCUGUGCGCACUGCAGAGAAAAAAUAGUGACAGCUUUUGUUAUUUUCGAAUUCAAAUUUUGUGCAAGUUGCUCCCUUCUGUGUAUUUCGGACACAUAUCCAAUCUAAUUUCUGAGCCUGUGCUAACGGCUCCAAACUCGUCAAGACCAGUGGAUCAACUCAUUACGGGAACGACUUCGAUGAGGAAAGGUGUGGCCAGAAGAUCGACUAACUUCAUUCUCAGGAAAUGGUAGCUUCGCGCUUGCCGUCGACGGGAUCGCGCUGAGUCACUAGCCAAACGUCAGUGAAAAUGACCGCACCGAACAGUCACCAGCUGUCAGAGGGAGUUCCAAUUUCCGAGGCACUUUGGAACAUUGUCGCCUAUUGGCUAUCAUCUCGCAGCGAAACAACGGUUGACAAAGGACCAGAGCGAACGCAGAAGUGACGGCGCAAAUGAGCCCCUCUUCAGCGAAAGUGUCGCCGCGCAGUGAUGUGGCUGCCGCUGUAAACGCCUGCCGACCAGGUUAUCUCGCCGACGUGAACGCAUGUCCUUUCUUCCUUCGAGCUGUACAACGCUGACUAUCUGUUUAUUAAAAGAAUAAUAAUGCCGAGUGAUUUUGUUCUUUAAGAACGUGAUGGGGUUACAUCGCUACGAAAACAAAAGCGUUUCAUAUGAACAGCCAAAUCGCCGAACAUAGCAAUUGUCAAGAUUCAUUUACUCGAAAACAAGAACAUCCCGAAACCCAACCCAUUCCAUACUAAUUGGGUAUCAUAAUGGUCACUGAUGGCGCGUUCGAUGACAGGACAGUAUACCUGCUUGCUUGCUUCCAUUCGGGCUGCGUGCAAACACAUUAUUUUGUAUAUUUUGGCAACAGUAGCUGCGAUUCGAUUGACGUAACCCAGUCGCCACGUGUAUUAUUGGCCUUAUUCACCCAAAGCUAUCUCUCACCCAUAAUAUAAUCCAAGGACAACAGCAGCGGCUGUAGAAACAGUAAUAACUACUGGGUAUACAUUCACACAGAUAAGAAUACACGUGACUGGCUGCCAGCGGCGGUAGAUAAGUUAAUUGACGCUUUCGUGGUUAGUCCUAUUCUCUCGCUAUUUCCAGCUCUGAGACGAACACUGCCCAGCUAUGGCGAUGUAGUUCUGUCAACGAGACACAAUAGGUCAACAGGUAGAGCAUCGUUGUAGAUAGAUAUUAUAAUACAUAGUACAGACAGGCGAUCGAUCGGCAAAUAAACAAACCUGGUUGACGGUAGCGUUUAGCAGACCGCCAUCGUUUUUGGCUCGACGCGAACGCACCAAAUACAGUCACGCUGGCUACCAUUCAGUUCCAUAGCGGUAUUCAUAGUGGCCAUGAUGAUCGCACACGUGCUGCCCGUAUAAUAGGUAGCUAGCUCACCUAGCGUUGUCUUCUGUACAUGCGUGUUACAGUUAAUUAUGUUUAGUAUAUCUGUUGAUGCUUAUUCGAAUGUAAUCCUUCGCUCUCGCCUCGCGUUUUUACGUCUCGUGGCUCGCUAUGUGUGACUUUUGUAGAUCAGAAAAUGAAGAAGGAUACACUGUUUGGUAAACUAGACAAAUCCCCUUUUUUUUUCCUCUUUUAUCUUAUCGGUUCACUCACAAACGAAUCUGAUUCUUUUUUCAAGGAGCUGCAAGCCCACCCUGAAAGAAUCGUGUAGCAUCGUAUGUAUAUGUGCAUAUGUCUGCAUGCGUUUACGUUUGCGGCAGGAUGUAUCAAACGUUCGAAGGAAAACUCGCCUGGUGGCGGAAAAUUGCCUGCAUUGAUUUUUCAAGGUAGCAGCGACAGGAUGCACGUGGCCCAUGGCGAAGGGUACUGGCGUCAAACAUCGCUCUCACUGGCAUUCCGUGUCAUUGUUAUUGGUGAUUCUGCUGACUUCACUAUAGUUUACGAUGAAAAGCAUUUCAUUUGAUUUGCCAUUUUCGCCAUCUGGCCACUUGUAGCAAAUCUAAAGUCGUAGUUUAAGAUUAUUUAUUCAUUGUCCACAGACACCCGAAACGAAGCGAAGCGGAAAAAGAGAGAGAGUUCUGAGUGGCCAGACUCGCGCCCGAUCGCCUUUCCUUUCUGCCGUCAGCAGCGGCCUCCAUUGAGCUGACUAAGUGACCCACUCAGCAUGUCCGUCUGUCUUUCGGCCCGCUAAGCGACCCCGACAACCUCUGCGCUGGCAUAUCGAGACCUGAACAAAGCAAACUUGUCUGCGGUCGCCAGCAAGCAACUCCUGCAACAGUGCAGGCAUCACUAUCUCCACGGACCCACCAGACGGCGUCGCAGCAGCUUCAGACCAGAGACACCGGUCAGCCGGUCCCCCGAUGAGCCGGCUGCCGUAACAGGGCGAUGACAACUUCGAUAAGUAAGCUCUGAUUUCGUUUUCUCCCAGUUAAAUCUGAACGCACGAAAUAAGCUCCAACAACAGCGCCGACAACAAGGUGCUUUGGACAAGACAGCAAUAGCACCGCAACAUCAACUACUGAUGCUGCUGCAACGACAGCAACUCUGGAUCAGACGGGUUCGGUCGGCGUCCUAAGCGGCAGCGGUAUGCAUCGUUGCGUGCUCAUCAUCUCGUUUUUCCUCUAGCUGAUACGUUCAUUCUCUCGCCGGUGGCAUUAUAUCAUUGCAUCGCUCCGCCAUUCUGUUUCCGUAAAUGACGUGCAGUCAUUACGGCAAGAAACAUUCUCAUUCUGAAAGUUAGUUCAGACGAUGCUAUGAUGUUUGGUAGCGGCCGAUAUCCCGUUCCAUCAGUUGUCUUCUGGCUUCUGCUUCUCCUCACUGAUGGGUCCUCUUGAGUCAUGCUGACCUCAGUGAAAGCGACCCCAACUGAUAGCCCCGACGUUCUUAGUUCUGCAGGAUAUUCCUAGCCAGAUAGCUGUAGCUGGUUUAGUGCCCACCUUUGUCUCUAAGCAAACACAGUGGUCUGUCAUUCCCACACGCACUCCAUUGAGCAAAUUUUCAAAGCUUUAUCCAAACGGGAUCGUGUCUGAAGGAAAAUUCAAGUACAGGUCCUUCCAGUGGACUCCGCUAUUGUGAUAUAACUUGCAGUUGAGAUAAUUUUGUGUACGACAGCGUUUUCCAACCUCGUUCUGAGCCAAAAAAAAAAAGAUUAUGAACAUGGCCAACUGAAAGAGGCAGAAUAGAACGAUGUUGGUCUACAGUAAUCGAAAGUGCGAAGGUUCUAGCUUAACGAUGUUUCGUAUUAGAUACCAAUUUUAAUCCUGCCUGAUAAAUUACAUUUGAGUGGCAAUAUUUUUUUUGCAGAAAAUCAUCUUGAAUUUGAAGAAAAAAUUGAGAUUUUAAUACUAAUAGGUUGGUCUACCUUGAUCUCGACCAUAUCGUCAAGGUCCCGAAGUAGGACAGCAGUAAGUUCGUUCUGAAUUCUGGCAAUGAAUAGUUCACUCUGUAGGUAGUUCUUGGCAAAAGUAGUCGAAUUCUGGAUCGAUGAGCCUCUUAGUUCAGUCAUAUGGAUGGACCAUUUCUAUUAUUCCAGUCAACCUACUUAGAGUCUGUACAAAACAAUAUCUGAAAGUACAAAAUCUCUGCUAGACCAUCCAUGAAUUAUUUGUCAUUUCAGCUACGGUAUUUAAGCGGUUCGUCAUAUUUACCCGAAAAUGCAUCGAGUUCUUUGCUACAAAUGAUCCUGAUCGUAUUAUCUUUGUCAGUGCUGCCGUUUCGACCACUCUUCUACAGGCAGCGCUACUAUUAUCGGUGCUUGUUAUCUUCAUUUGGCUCUGAGUCAGCAGAGUUUUAACUAACACGACCGUUUACUCAAUGUGAACCCAGCGCUUAAUAAAUUCAAAUAUUUACAGAUGGUCAGACAUAAACAGGACAAAGGUAUGACGCAUGCGUAUAUCAGAAUGACACUUUCGACAAGACGUAGGCAAUCGAGAAAGCCCUCUUUCUCUCAUUGGCUCAGUAACGACAACAGUCUGCUGCGCCACUGCUUCCUUCUAAAUUACUCGAGUCAACUUUCUGCAGGACUUUAACGGCCAGAAUUAAGGGGCAGUGUUGCUGAUGUCGCCGACUGCAUGCGUAAUUCUUAUCUGCCUUCAGGUCGCCUCAGAGCGGCGGUAUGGUAGUACUACUAGUAAUAGUAGUUUAGUAUAUAUAGUUGCGUUGUUUUUAUAAAGUUUGUUUUUUAGUUUCUAGUUAGCGUUGCUAUUUCCUUUCAUCUGUUCCGUCGCUAUCAUUAUCUUCUUUUUCUUUCUACUUCCCGUUGACUUCGUCGUUUUUUGUCCCGUUUUCCACCGCAUCUAAUUUUGGGUUUGGUGAUAGCCAGACCCCCGCCAGCAAGUGAUACGCCUUAUCUUUUUCGAGGUGUCACGGGUGCUGCCGCUAAUGUAGCGUUUCUAAUAACGCCGCCGCCACACCGCCGGCGCUGUGUAACAGACGCCAGUCUCUCUUGUCGUCAAGAAAUAUCCUUGUUUUCCUAGCAACACGGCUCCCACAUUUCCUUACAGGCUGAGAGAGAGCGAAACGGAAGGGGGCACAGAAGGUGCCAAUAAAACCCUUUAAAACGGUCGAAGUCGUCGCGUCCGAGAGUAAGGGAGGACAGCGUAGCGGUGACAGGUGUAGGAUAGUUGUCGCCACAAUUUAGCGAGAACGCGUCCAUUCCUAGACGCGAGGUGCGACCAUCGACGAGCAUUGUGCAACAAUAACAAAGUAUGGCGCUGCGCCGCGGAGUAUUCUGUACAGUGUCGUUUCUUCACCUAUUGCCACGUGGCAAUAGUGAUAAGCGGUGGUUCGAAGCCGGUGCUGCUAAUGCUAACGUGAUUUGAGAUAUACGAGGUAUAUUUGUUUUGGCGGCUGAGCUGAUCCUCGGCAAAAUCAGCCUCUCGAAAAAGAUAGCUAGCUAUCUUUGUAUUAUCCUUUCGUGAUAAGCUGGUUUUAUGUUUCUUUAAUUGUCCCUGCUUUUCCUAGUUUUUUUUUUUCUUAUUACAUAUCGCAGUUACACGAUUUUUUCUAGCACAGCAAUAGCAGUAGCACGAUACUUAAGCGAACAUUAUUGCGUGGGGCUAGAGUAAGUUCUUGUAAGGUUCUACGUGUCCAACCACUUCCCUGGGUGCUAGUUAGUGAUAACUGAUGGCCGGAUCAGUUCCUUCGAAUUAUUAUUUCUUGCCGUUACUUUGCCCUACAAUCUAUUUUGGAAUAGUUUUUCAAACGUGCGUGAUGAUGAUAUUGUUGGUUACGGUAAACGGUGACAAUCUUCGUCUUGCGCCAGUGCUUUGCUAUUGCGUGCGUCAGCAUCUUCAUCGUUCGUCCGCUCGCCCGCUCCACAGUCCGUCGUGGUGACACGUCUGCAGCCCUCUGAUCUGCUACAAUAUUUUGUACAAGAAAGCGGUACGCAUAGACCAAAACACGAAUGUAGUAUAUGUUCAAUGAACAACGGCCAGUAGCAGCUACAGCUGGACGCUAAGCGUUGUCUGUCGUAUUAACAAUUGCUUCUUUUUUCGAUAGUUGUUGAUUUUUUUGUAUUACAGGUUACCCUCUCUUGUCCGCGUGUCGAUUUUCUCUCCUGCUGUCCAUCUCGUAGAAAACACCAAUUCGCUGCUGACGCAAACGCUGGCUACACAAAAAGGAGCUAGUUUAACUCUUACCAAUAUUGCGAUUGGCCACAGCCGUUCAAGUACCCGAAGACGCUGGCAGCGUGAAAUUUGCAACGUCGCGAUAAUUUUAUCCCCAGAAAAAAUAGAAGAUUCUCUGUUCUACCAUAUCCGUUCGGAACCAUAUAGAUAGAUAAACCGGAUUCAUGGACCUGAAUGUGCGUGUACCUGAAUUCCUCGUUAGUUUUUGUUCCAUGCUCUGAUGAACGCUCUACAAAAGAAAAAAAAAACACUCCGACGCGACAUGCACACCGUCAACGAUUUACCUACAUAGUCUGCUUUAUACGCUGUAUGCAUGAUGGAUGUACGUACAUGCAUAUAGGGGUUCUCUAGGGGACGAGAUGGGUCUGUGUUUCUAGUCGCGCUCAUCCGUCCAUCUCUGAUUUGUUUCAACUUCCUUUCAUGGACAGCCCGUACAUUUAUACAGUAAUUAGGAUCGCUCCAAGAUAGCGUGCUGUACACGAAAAGUUCAAACUACGAUCCAGCAUAAUAUGCUGCGUAAUUGUCCCUCGUAAUUCCCUCGAAAUGCGAAACUAAAAGGUUUUUGCAUCGUUGUCUGUAUUGUUUUAGCAAUAUUUUACUGAACCUGUUAUAGAGAAAACACUUCCAUGCCGUAAUCGUAUUUUAACCACGUCAUAUAAGUACGUUUUGUUUCAGAAGUCGAGAAGAAGCUGUUUUCGAACCUGCACAACUCCCCAAUCAGUGGGUCUUCACAAAUAAUCUUACACUAGGACCGCAUUUUUCAUACGGCAUAUACUUAAUGUAAAAUAAAGCAUUCCAACAAAGGCUUUUGUACGUUAUCGAUGCAGUCUUUGAGUCGCUAUUCAGGUUUCAAUCGAAUUUGAUCUUUACGUUGUAGAAUAGUAUUCAUGUGUGGCGCAUUUUGGCCUAUCCAUUGUGCCUAAAUACCAGUCGCCGAAGUACUGUUGUCCUGCUAUUAGUAAAUUGCAGGCCAAAUACGCUUUUAGCAAGAGACUGCGUUAGGUUGGCGCUCUUCGCAAUAUUUACAUUAAAAUUAGACAACAAAAUAACGCCUAUGUUACUCUUUACAGCGGCCUCAUUCUAUACAUUUCAUGCGUAAACCCAAACUUAUCAAUAUGGUUUCCUUCUAUUGCAAUUGCCUAGUUUAUAGAACUACAUUUCAAGACCUAAAUUGAAACAGCAACAGUUGAAUCUCCUGUACUCCAAAUUUGUUCUUCUUCUUCAUAAUAAUAAUAAUAAUUCAGCAGUGACGAUGAGUCCUCUCAACCGCUGCUAGGCCAUUGAAUAGUUAGACCUAAUUUGUCAGCCUUCAUCAUGACCACAGCGUUGGAAAAAGCAUCCGCGCUAGCAACAAUGACAAUUAUCGUCAUUGGUUGGUAAUUCCUAUUUCAAUUCCCGCUUUUUUUGUGUUGCUGCUACCGCCAAUGGCGAAGGUGGUGUUACAGUGGGUGGGUACUUUUUCGGGCUUGGAAAACGCAAACGCUGACGACAUAACAGCAUCUAUACGCUUAUGGCAACGUAAUCAGAAAGAGACGCCACAAAAACAACAACAACGAGUAUAGUCGCGUUAGCAGCGUCACUAAAAACGUAAAGAAACAAACUCUUGACAAAGCGCUAGUGUGGCAGGGCAGUAGUGGGGAAGAGCUGAAUCUUCUGCACUCAACGGGCUGCCAGCUGUACAAACUGCAUAAUCAGCAGUAGCAGCAUUUUACCUUUGGAACUGUUUGAUGUCGCCCCUUCGUUUCUAUUGCUGUAGUCCUAGUAGUUGUAAUGGCGGUUGUGGUAGGAGCUGCAGCAGGAGAAACGCCCGAAGUAGACAACUCGAUUGACUAUUAUGGCAACUUUUGUUAACUACUGCUAUGAACAACUAUCAGUCGUGAAGUUACUGUCAUCGGUGAGGCUUCUCUGCUCCUUUUUAUCAAGGUUCCAUGUAUUUGUUGUCCUGUUCGCAUUUGUCCGUUAGAUGGGCAGCAGUGCACAGAUAGUGGCAGAUCUGCAACGGAGGAAACGCUCACGUUGGCGUGAAGGCUGCUGCGCCUGCAUAUAGAAGUAGCCGCGCGGUGGGAAGAUCUGUUUCGAUGUUUACGUCACGUCCGACGACUAACCAGUCGGGCGCCGACGACUAGCCGUGAGGGAGAAACUGUCGGCUGUUUGCUUCUCGAUUUUCCCCUAAUUGGCAACGUUUUUUCCACACCUUCUAAAAUAGACUUCUUAAUUAUAUGUGUUGGCCACAUCUGCUUUUAGGCCACGGGCUUCAUACAGCUGCUUCCAGAAGCGGCAGCAGGCACCGACAGCGAUAUCUACUAUAGCAAUAUAUGUAUUAUAAAGG